UUCUCCCUUCCUAAUCAGGACUGAGGACAUGAGGCUGACCAUGGAGCUCACGCUGAGCCUGGUUUUCCUUGUUACUGUCUUAAAAGGUAUCCAGGCUGAGGUGCAGUUGAUGGAAUCCGGAGGAGGCUUGGUGCAGCCUGGAGGGUCCCUGAGACUCUCCUGUGCAGCCUCUGGAUUCACCUUCAGUAACUACUACAUGGACUGGGCCCGCCAGGCUCCUGGGAAGGGGCUGCAGUGGGUUGCUCACAUUAGAACCAAAGCUAAUGGCUACACAACUGAAUAUGCCGCGUCUGUGAAAGGACGAUUCGCCAUCUCCAGAGAUGAUUCCAAAAGCACGGUCUAUCUGCAAAUGGACACCCUGAGAGCUGAGGACACAGCCCUGUAUUAUUGUACAGGAGGCACAGUGAGGGGAUCUCAGUAUAAGCUCGGACACAAACCUCCUUGCUGUGAUGCUCAGGACCACCAGGGGGCGAAUGUGUACAAAUGAACUAGAAACGCUGGUAGGAAGCUAUUUCCACGUGGAUUUAAUUUUAUUGGCAACCUGUGGAGG